UCAGUCGAUCCUACGGGGAGGCAGCAGUGGGGGAAUAUUGCACAAUGGGCGCAAGCCUGAUGCAGCCAUGCCGCGUGUGUGAAGAAGGCCUUCGGGUUGUAAAGCACUUUCAGUCGUGAGGAAGGUAGUGUAGUUAAUAGCUGCAUUAUUUGACGUUAGCGACAGAAGAAGCACCGGCUAACUCCGUGCCAGCAGCCGCGGUAAUACGGAGGGUGCGAGCGUUAAUCGGAAUUACUGGGCGUAAAGCGCAUGCAGGUGGUUUGUUAAGUCAGAUGUGAAAGCCCGGGGCUCAACCUCGGAAUUGCAUUUGAAACUGGCAGACUAGAGUACUGUAGAGGGGGGUAGGAAUUUCAGGUGUAGCGGUGAAAUGCGUAGAGAUCUGAAGGAAUACCGGUGGCGAAGGCGGCCCCCUGGACAGAUACUGACACUCAGAUGCGAAAGCGUGGGGAGCAAACAGGAUUAGAUACCCUGGUAG
rnacentral:rRNA from 1 species